rnacentral:rRNA from 1 species
UACGAGUGCUCCAGGCGUUAUCCGGAAUUAUUGGGCGUAAAGGGUGUGGAGGCGGUUUUGUUAGUCUUUUGUUAAAGCUUCGGGCCUAACCCGAAAAAUGCAUUGGAAACGGCAAAACUAGAGGAUGCGAGAGGAAAACAGAACUCAUAGUGUAGCGGUGAAAUCCGUUGAUAUUAUGGGGAAUACCAAAUGCGAAGGCAGUUUUCUGGCGCACUCCUGACGCUGAACCACGAAAGCGUGGGUAGCGAAUGGG